rnacentral:lncRNA from 1 species
AAAUCCUUGGCAGUUCAAGAACUUGAGAUUUCUGGACCAAGUAGGUGUUGCUGGUCCUUUGCCCUUGUUCUCGUGAGUAGCCCCAAUUAGUGGAGUACCCUUAUUUGGAUUGAGAUAAGACUUGUUAUCCCUGGGUAAGCUUGUUUAGAAGAAGAACUGUAUGGGUUUUUAGUAAAGCUUAUCCUCUUGUUUUGUUGCUCAAUAAGGAUUGCUUUAUGCAACACUCUUCAUUGUCCUCAUAAUCUUGUAGUUCAAAUCUAUCUUGGAUAUCUCUAUUUAGACCUCCUGGAAUUGUUCCAUAGUGGCCUCAACAUCCUCAUUCACCUCAGCUUUCAUGAUGAUCAGUGUUUCCAUCUCCUAUAAGUAAUCCUCCACACUCCUAGUUACUUGAGAAAGCCUUCUCAUUUCCUAGUGUAGAUCUC